CCUACGGGUGGCAGCAGUGGGGAAUAUUGGACAAUGGGGGGAACCCUGAUCCAGCCAUGCCGCGUGUGUGAAGAAGGCCCUCGGGUUGUAAAGCACUUUCAGUGAGGAAGAACGCCUGGUGGUUAAUACCCAUCAGGAAAGACAUCACUCACAGAAGAAGCACCGGCUAACUCCGUGCCAGCAGCCGCGGUAAUACGGAGGGUGCGAGCGUUAAUCGGAAUUACUGGGCGUAAAGCGCGCGUAGGUGGCUUGAUAAGCCGGUUGUGAAAGCCCCGGGCUCAACCUGGGAACGGCAUCCGGAACUGUCAAGCUAGAGUGCAGGAGAGGAAGGUAGAAUUCCCGGUGUAGCGGUGAAAUGCGUAGAGAUCGGGAGGAAUACCAGUGGCGAAGGCGGCCUUCUGGACUGACACUGACACUGAGGUGCGAAAGCGUGGGUAGCAAACAGGAUUAGAUACACGGGUAGUC
rnacentral:rRNA from 1 species